CGGGAUGUGGCUCAGCCUGGUAGAGCACACGCUUGGGGUGCGUGGGGUCGGAGGUUCAAAUCCUCUCAUCCCGA
rnacentral:tRNA from 1 species